AAAGUAUAUACUGUGUAAGUGUGAACGUUGAAUGUGAUGAGUUGUUAGUUUAACAGUAAACGUAGAAAUGAUUUGAUUUUUAUCCUGCUUAUUAAAUAAGUAAUCGGUUGCAUCAUAAUUCUCGAGUGUUUGAGCGGAGAGCGGUCGGGCAUUGCCGGCGAGCCGGGAGGGGAGGAAGUUGUGUGAAAGGUACCGCACUGGCACUGGCCUAUGCUAGUGCCUGGCUGGCGCACGGCUUCGGUAGGUACGGUGUCUAAGUACUCUAACGACAAAAGAUGAAGACUUAGUCUAGAGAUGGGUUUUCAGGCUUGGCCGCCUGAAUCUUAAUCUUUUGAUUUGCAGUUCUUGAUCCACUGAUUGGUGACGAUGAUGAUCACAUGUCAUGUCUAAUCUGACUGAAUGAGACAAA